rnacentral:rRNA from 1 species
CCUACGGGAGGCAGCAGUGGGGAAUAUUGCACAAUGGGCGAAAGCCUGAUGCAGCAACGCCGCGUGAGCGACGAAGGCCUUCGGGUCGUAAAGCUCUGUCCUAUGGGAAGAUAAUGACGGUACCAUAGGAGGAAGCCCCGGCUAACUACGUGCCAGCAGCCGCGGUAAU